GGUUAAGCGACUAAGCGUACACGGUGGAUGCCCUGGCAGUCAGAGGCGAUGAAGGACGUGCUAAUCUGCGAUAAGCGUCGGUAAGGUGAUAUGAACCGUUAUAACCGGCGAUUUCCGAAUGGGGAAACCCAGUGUGUUUCGACACACUAUCAUUAACUGAAUCCAUAGGUUAAUGAGGCGAACCGGGGGAACUGAAACAUCUAAGUACCCCGAGGAAAAGAAAUCAACCGAGAUUCCCCCAGUAGCGGCGAGCGAACGGGGAGGAGCCCAGAGCCUGAAUCAGUGUGUGUGUUAGUGGAAGCGUCUGGAAAGGCGCGCGAUACAGGGUGACAGCCCCGUACACAAAAAUGCACAUGCUGUGAGCUCGAUGAGUAGGGCGGGACACGUGGUAUCCUGUCUGAAUAUGGGGGGACCAUCCUCCAAGGCUAAAUACUCCUGACUGACCGAUAGUGAACCAGUACCGUGAGGGAAAGGCGAAAAGAACCCCGGCGAGGGGAGUGAAAAAGAACCUGAAACCGUGUACGUACAAGCAGUGGGAGCACGCUUAGGCGUGUGACUGCGUACCUUUUGUAUAAUGGGUCAGCGACUUAUAUUCUGUAGCAAGGUUAACCGAAUAGGGGAGCCGAAGGGAAACCGAGUCUUAACUGGGCGUUAAGUUGCAGGGUAUAGACCCGAAACCCGGUGAUCUAGCCAUGGGCAGGUUGAAGGUUGGGUAACACUAACUGGAGGACCGAACCGACUAAUGUUGAAAAAUUAGCGGAUGACUUGUGGCUGGGGGUGAAAGGCCAAUCAAACCGGGAGAUAGCUGGUUCUCCCCGAAAGCUAUUUAGGUAGCGCCUCGUGAAUUCAUCUCCGGGGGUAGAGCACUGUUUCGGCAAGGGGGUCAUCCCGACUUACCAACCCGAUGCAAACUGCGAAUACCGGAGAAUGUUAUCACGGGAGACACACGGCGGGUGCUAACGUCCGUCGUGAAGAGGGAAACAACCCAGACCGCCAGCUAAGGUCCCAAAGUCAUGGUUAAGUGGGAAACGAUGUGGGAAGGCCCAGACAGCCAGGAUGUUGGCUUAGAAGCAGCCAUCAUUUAAAGAAAGCGUAAUAGCUCACUGGUCGAGUCGGCCUGCGCGGAAGAUGUAACGGGGCUAAACCAUGCACCGAAGCUGCGGCAGCGACACUAUGUGUUGUUGGGUAGGGGAGCGUUCUGUAAGCCUGUGAAGGUGUGCUGUGAGGCAUGCUGGAGGUAUCAGAAGUGCGAAUGCUGACAUAAGUAACGAUAAAGCGGGUGAAAAGCCCGCUCGCCGGAAGACCAAGGGUUCCUGUCCAACGUUAAUCGGGGCAGGGUGAGUCGACCCCUAAGGCGAGGCCGAAAGGCGUAGUCGAUGGGAAACAGGUUAAUAUUCCUGUACUUGGUGUUACUGCGAAGGGGGGACGGAGAAGGCUAUGUUGGCCGGGCGACGGUUGUCCCGGUUUAAGCGUGUAGGCUGGUUUUCCAGGCAAAUCCGGAAAAUCAAGGCUGAGGCGUGAUGACGAGGCACUACGGUGCUGAAGCAACAAAUGCCCUGCUUCCAGGAAAAGCCUCUAAGCAUCAGGUAACAUCAAAUCGUACCCCAAACCGACACAGGUGGUCAGGUAGAGAAUACCAAGGCGCUUGAGAGAACUCGGGUGAAGGAACUAGGCAAAAUGGUGCCGUAACUUCGGGAGAAGGCACGCUGAUAUGUAGGUGAAGUCCCUCGCGGAUGGAGCUGAAAUCAGUCGAAGAUACCAGCUGGCUGCAACUGUUUAUUAAAAACACAGCACUGUGCAAACACGAAAGUGGACGUAUACGGUGUGACGCCUGCCCGGUGCCGGAAGGUUAAUUGAUGGGGUUAGCCGCAAGGCGAAGCUCUUGAUCGAAGCCCCGGUAAACGGCGGCCGUAACUAUAACGGUCCUAAGGUAGCGAAAUUCCUUGUCGGGUAAGUUCCGACCUGCACGAAUGGCGUAAUGAUGGCCAGGCUGUCUCCACCCGAGACUCAGUGAAAUUGAACUCGCUGUGAAGAUGCAGUGUACCCGCGGCAAGACGGAAAGACCCCGUGAACCUUUACUAUAGCUUGACACUGAACAUUGAGCCUUGAUGUGUAGGAUAGGUGGGAGGCUUGGAAGUGUGGACGCCAGUCUGCAUGGAGCCGACCUUGAAAUACCACCCUUUAAUGUUUGAUGUUCUAACGUUGACCCGUAAUCCGGGUUGCGGACAGUGUCUGGUGGGUAGUUUGACUGGGGCGGUCUCCUCCUAAAGAGUAACGGAGGAGCACGAAGGUUGGCUAAUCCUGGUCGGACAUCAGGAGGUUAGUGCAAUGGCAUAAGCCAGCUUGACUGCGAGCGUGACGGCGCGAGCAGGUGCGAAAGCAGGUCAUAGUGAUCCGGUGGUUCUGAAUGGAAGGGCCAUCGCUCAACGGAUAAAAGGUACUCCGGGGAUAACAGGCUGAUACCGCCCAAGAGUUCAUAUCGACGGCGGUGUUUGGCACCUCGAUGUCGGCUCAUCACAUCCUGGGGCUGAAGUAGGUCCCAAGGGUAUGGCUGUUCGCCAUUUAAAGUGGUACGCGAGCUGGGUUUAGAACGUCGUGAGACAGUUCGGUCCCUAUCUGCCGUGGGCGCUGGAGAACUGAGGGGGGCUGCUCCUAGUACGAGAGGACCGGAGUGGACGCAUCACUGGUGUUCGGGUUGUCAUGCCAAUGGCACUGCCCGGUAGCUAAAUGCGGAAGAGAUAAGUGCUGAAAGCAUCUAAGCACGAAACUUGCCCCGAGAUGAGUUCUCCCUGACCCUUUAAGGGUCCUGAAGGAACGUUGAAGACGACGACGUUGAUAGGCCGGGUGUGUAAGCGCAGCGAUGCGUUGAGCUAACCGGUACUAAUGAACCGUGAGGCUUAACCUU
rnacentral:rRNA from 1 species